AACGGGCUCAGCUGCGCUCGGCGGGCGCCAGGCAGCCCGGAGGAGGCGCUGCGGGCCAGCGGCCCGGGCUCGGCUGGCGGCGGGACGGCAGGAGACGCGGAGAGAGGGAGAGAGAGAGGGCACGAGAGAUCCUGCCCGCACCCCUGGCCCGCUCUGCUAAUCUUGCUUACCCUCGGAAGGGAGGCGUUCUGAAUGCUGGCUUCUUAAGUUCGACCUUCCCUUCUGACUGAGGACCACUGGACUUGGAAGGAACUCUCUGCUCUUAAUUUCCGUAUUGAUUAGUCAACAGUGGAAAAUCUGAAGAGAUGCGAGCUGGAAAAAGAAACUAAACCAGGUGUGUAG